GGAAACAUUCUCCUGCCUCCAGUGGUCCCUGCACCUGUCGCCAUGGCUUUUGCUGGCUGAUGUCCCCUCCUUCAGCAAAGGCUACUGGAAGAACCAGCAUGCAAGGGGCCGGGACCCCGUCCUGAGGAGGUGGAGAGGCAGCGGGGGACAGGGCCUGUAGGAGCAAGAGGGUCCCUUUCCUUUUCAUGGGCAUGGCCACCCCCAUGAAGCUGGCCCCGGGCAUGAGUAUGUGAUCCAUGCCAGGGUGUGCUCAAGGACAUAGUGUACAGAGGAAAGGAGGGUCACAGCUGACAGACUGGGGACAGAUCUGGGAAGUGCCCGCACAACGGCAAAAUCUUGGUCAAGUUUGCUGAGUGAAUGUGUGUGGUUCCUUUCCUGAGCUUCUUGUUUCCUCAUCUUGAAUCUGGGGAAGGCAAAAAGGGGCUUCUAUCAGAGAGAAUUCUGUAACAUAUUCCAUUUCUGGGGCGCAGAGAAGGCUCACUGUUAAAAAAAAAAAUGCAUCCCCGGUGCUAGAGGCCUAGCAGACACUUAACAAGUUUACUCUGAGCAUUCCUAGAGAAAAUGGGAUUAUAGCAAAUCAAAACACCUCUUUAUCUUUUUAGAGCUGUCUGCUUAUCCUAUGUGGAGGAUACAGCUUGUGUGGCCACGGUGCAUUUCCAAGGAACUGAACUUAGGGGGCCGUUUCAUCGGUGAAAUAAGACUCUGCCGGUUUGGCAAGGGGAACCACACUAGCGUGAAGGCGUGUGUCAGAGUUUAUUGUAGUAAGUUGGUCCAAAACAUCAUUGACCGUGGCCAGGAUCCAGGACCUGCCCCU